GGAGAAGUGGCAGAUAGGAAUGUAUGCGGCUUGAAACCGUUAGACAGAGGUUUGAUUCCUCUCUUCUCUU
rnacentral:tRNA from 1 species